GAUGAAGAACGCAGCGAAAUGCGAUACGUAAUGUGAAUUGCAGAAUUCAGUGAAUCAUCGAAUCUUUGAACGCACAUUGCGCCCGUCAGUAUUCUGGCGGGCAUGCCUGUUCGAGCGUCAUUACGCCCCUCAAGUCCCCUGUGGACUUGGUGUUGGGGAUCGGCGAGGCUGGUUUUCCAGCACAGCCGUCCCUUAAAUUAAUUGGCGGUCUCGCCGUGGCCCUCCUCUGCGCAGUAGUAAAACACUCGCAACAGGAGCCCGGCGCGGUCCACUGCCGUAAAACCCCCCAACUUUUUAUAGUUGACCUCGAAUCAGGUAGGACUACCCGCUGAACUUAAGCAUAUCAAUAAGCGGAGG
rnacentral:misc_RNA from 1 species